CUCCAUGCCAUGCAGUGCAAGUCCAACCAAACCUUCUCUUCAAACGUUUACAACAAGCAUCUAAUAAUAAGCAAAGAUGGCCAUGGCCAAGAGCUUAUCGCCGCCGGCGGUGCUCAUAUUUGCCUUGCUCUUCAGCUACGCCGCCUCCAUCGCGUCCUCCCAAGCUACAUCGUCGUCCGAUGGCUUCCUCCAAUGCCUCUCGGCGAGCAUCCCCAGCCAGCUCGUCUUCACACAGAGCUCGCCUUCGUUCACGCCGCUGCUCAAGUCCUCCAUCAAGAACCCCAAGUUCUUCACGCCCAGCAUCGUGCGGCCGCUCUACAUCGUCACGCCGACGAACGCCUCCCACGUUCAGGCCGCCGUGCUCUGCGGCCGCCGGAACGGGAUGCGCAUCCGCGUGCGCAGCGGCGGCCACGACUACGAGGGCCUGUCGUACCGGUCCGAGCGCCCCGAGGUGUUCGCGGUGCUCGACCUGUCAAACCUCCGCGCCGUGCGCGUCGACCGGCAGACCUCCACCGCGUGGGUCGACUCCGGCGCGACGCUCGGCGAGCUCUACUACGCCGUCGGGAAGGCCAGCAACCUUCUAGGGUUCCCGGCCGGCCUGUGCCCGACCGUCGGCGUCGGGGGACAUUUCAGCGGCGGCGGCUUCGGCAUGCUGCUGCGCAAGUACGGCCUCGCCAUCGACAACGUCGUCGACGCGGUCCUGGUGGACGCCAAGGGGAGGCUCCUGAACAAGAACACCAUGGGCAGCGACGUCUUCUGGGCCAUCCGAGGCGGCGGCGGCGAGAGCUUCGGCGUCGUGCUGUCGUGGCAGGUGAAGCUCGUCCCCGUCCCGGCGACCGUCACGGUGUUCAACGUCCCGGUGUCCGCCAGCCAGGGCGCCGUGGACGUGGUCACCAGGUGGCAGCAGGUGGCGCCAUCCCUGCCGGACGACCUCUUCAUCAGGGUGCUCGUCCAGCAGCAGACGGCCACCUUCCAGUCCCUGUUCCUCGGCACCUGCGACGCGCUCCUGCCGGUGAUGAGCAGCCGGUUCCCGGAGCUGCGGUUCAACCGGACCUCCUGCAAGGAGAUGACGUGGAUCCAGUCCGUGCCCUACAUCUACCUCGGCAGCGGCUCCACGGUGGAGGACCUCCUGAACCGGACCACCGCCGCCUCCGUCUUCAGCAGCGGCUACAAGGCGACGUCCGACUACGUCCGGCAGGCCAUCCCGCGGGGCGUGUGGGCGAACAUCUUCAGCAAGCUCGCGCAGCCCAACGCGGGGCUGAUGAUCCUGGACCCCUACGGCGGCGCGCGGAUCGGCGGCGUGCCGGAGUCGGCGACGCCGUUCCCGCACCGCGCCGGCGUGCUGUACAACAUCCAGUACGUGAGCUUCUGGUCGGCGAAUGGAGACGGGUCGGCGCAUACGAAGUGGGUCAGGGACUUCUACGCGUUCAUGGCGCCGUACGUGAGCUCGAGCCCGAGGGAGGCCUACUUCAACUACAGGGACCUGGACCUUGGUGAGAACGUCGUUGUCGGCAAUGUCAGCAGCUAUGAGGCCGGCAAGGUCUGGGGCGAAAAGUACUUCGGGGAUAAUUACAAGAGGCUUGCGAUGGUGAAGGGUGAGAUUGACCCCGACGACUACUUCAGGAAUGAGCAGAGCAUACCACCGCUCGUGCUGGGCAACUAGUUCUUUAGUGGUGACGGAAAUGGCGCACUUGCGGUCAAAACCAUAUUAUAGAGAGGAGAAAAAUCGACAACAGCUACAGGCCAACGACACCCCGAGGAGGGAGAAGGGGCCUCGAGCCCACAGGCCACACAGCCCAAAGCCACGCACUGGGAUCAAGCGCCCACAAAGACCAAGCAACAUGCCAGCCCAACUUCUCAUUACCUAAUCUGCUAAAUAUUGUUGUUCUUCCGCACAUAACAAUUCCUUUCGUCUUGAUGAAACGAGGGUAUAACAACCCGUUCGCAAAAAAAAUAUGUUCUUCUUCCGCACAUAACAAUUGUAGCUAGUACCAUGUUACCGCAUUCGCCUGUAGUUUAAUUUUCUAGCAGAAAUGUCUCUAUUGUUUAUUCCAACUUGCAUGCAAUGCAGAUUGCAAUUUGUGUAA